AUUGAACGCUGGCGGCAUGCCUUACACAUGCAAGUCGAACGGCAGCACGGGUGCUUGCACCUGGUGGCGAGUGGCGAACGGGUGAGUAAUACAUCGGAACAUGUCCUGUAGUGGGGGAUAGCCCGGCGAAAGCCGGAUUAAUACCGCAUACGAUCUACGGAUGAAAGCGGGGGACCUUCGGGCCUCGCGCUAUAGGGUUGGCCGAUGGCUGAUUAGCUAGUUGGUGGGGUAAAGGCAUACCAAGGCGACGAUCAGUAGCUGGUCUGAGAGGACGACCAGCCACACUGGGACUGAGACACGGCCCAGACUCCUACGGGAGGCAGCAGUGGGGAAUUUUGGACAAUGGGCGAAAGCCUGAUCCAGCAAUGCCGCGUGUGUGAAGAAGGCCUUCGGGUUGUAAAGCACUUUUGUCCGGAAAGAAAUCCUUGGCCCUAAUACGGUCGGGGGAUGACGGUACCGGAAGAAUAAGCACCGGCUAACUACGUG
rnacentral:rRNA from 1 species